rnacentral:rRNA from 1 species
UUNUGAACUGGGUGACUAGAGUGUGUCAGAGGGAGGUAGAAUNCCACGUGUAGCAGUGAAAUGCGUAGAGAUGUGGAGGAAUACCGAUGGCGAAGGCAGCCUCCUGGGAUAACACUGACGUUCAUGCCCGAAAGCGUGGGUAGCAAACAGGAUUAGAUACCCUGGUAGUCCACGCCCUAAACGAUGUCGAUUAGCUGUUGGGCAGCAUGACUGCUUAGUAGCGAAGCUAACGCGUGAAAUCGACCGCCUGGGGAGUACGGUCGCAAGAUUAAAACUCAAAGGAAUUGACGGGGACCCGCACAAGCGGUGGAUGAUGUGGAUUAAUUCGAUGCAACGCGAAGAACCUUACCUGGUCUUGACAUGUACGGAACCCUCCAGAGACGGAGGGGUGCCUUCGGGAGCCGUAACACAGGUGCUGCAUGGCUGUCGUCAGCUCGUGUCGUGAGAUGUUGGGUUAAGUCCCGCAACGAGCGCAACCCUUGUCAUUAGUUGCCAUCAUUAAGUUGGGCACUCUAAUGAGACUGCCGGUGACAAGCCGGAGGAAGGUGGGGAUGACGUCAAGUCCUCAUGGCCCUUAUGACCAGGGCUUCACACGUCAUACAAUGGUCGGUACAGAGGGUAGCCAAGCCGCGAGGUGGAGCCAAUCUCACAAAACCGAUCGUAGUCCGGAUUGCACUCUGCAACUCGAGUGCAUGAAGUCGGAAUCGCUAGUAAUCGCAGGUCAGCAUACUGCGGUGAAUACGUUCCCGGGUCUUGUACACACCGCCCGUCACACCAUGGGAGUGGGGGAUACCAGAAGUAGGUAGGGUAACCGCAAGGAGC